AUGGUUAUCAGUUUUGGAACAAGUCAGGAUAUUAAAUCAACUUCAAAAAAUGGUAUAAUACCCUGUUUUGUUCCAAAACUGAUAACCAU